rnacentral:rRNA from 1 species
AUGUUUGGCACUGCUCUGUGCCCUGAUAACAUUUGGCAAGUCUAUGUGUGGUGCUUUACGUUCUUCCCUGGCGGGGAAAAGUUUUAUACAACGGGGAUUGCUGCUGUGUGUUGGGCGAUCUGGUCUUGUCGCAAUAGAGCUACCUUUGAGUUCAAACCGCUUACAAAUCCUUUUGAAUGUAUCUUUUCUGCUUGUGCUCUAAUGUGCUACUGGGCAGGAAUGCUGAAGCAAGAUGACGCGACUACCAUGAGGGACGGGGCGAAGAUGCUGAAGGAGAACGCGUCGAUGAUGAUGAGAAUCUGUGCGGCGAACCACGAAUAA